UUGCAUAUCAACAAGCGGAGGAAAGGAAACCAACCGGGAUUGCCUUAGUAACGGCGAGUGAAGCGGCAAAAGCUCAAAUUUGAAAUCUGGUACCUUCGGUGCCCGAGUUGUAAUUUGGAGAGGGCAACUUUGGGGCCGUUCCUUGUCUAUGUUCCUUGGAACAGGACGUCAUAGAGGGUGAGAAUCCCGUGUGGCGAGGAGUGCGGUUCUUUGUAAAGUGCCUUCGAAGAGUCGAGUUGUUUGGGAAUGCAGCUCUAAGUGGGUGGUAAAUUCCAUCUAAAGCUAAAUAUUGGCGAGAGACCGAUAGCGAACAAGUACAGUGAUGGAAAGAUGAAAAGAACUUUGAAAAGAGAGUGAAAAAGUACGUGAAAUUGUUGAAAGGGAAGGGCAUUUGAUCAGACAUGGUGUUUUGUGCCCUCUGCUCCUUGUGGGUAGGGGAAUCUCGCAUUUCACUGGGCCAGCAUCAGUUUUGGUGGCAGGAUAAAUCCAUAGGAAUGUAGCUUGCCUCGGUAAGUAUUAUAGCCUGUGGGAAUACUGCCAGCUGGGACUGAGGACUGCGACGUAAGUCAAGGAUGCUGGCAUAAUGGUUAUAUGCCGCCCGUCUUGAACCACGGACC
rnacentral:rRNA from 1 species